rnacentral:rRNA from 1 species
GACGAACGCUGGCGGCGUGCCUAACACAUGCAAGUCGAACGGAGUUAAGACUUCGGUUUUAACUUAGUGGCGAACGGGUGAGUAACGCGUGAGAAACCUGCCUUUCAGUGGGGGGCAACAGUUGGAAACGACUGCUAAUACCGCAUAAAGUAUUUUGACCGCAUGGUCGAAAUACCAAAGCUUAAUGUGCUGAAAGAUGGUCUCGCGUCUGAUUAGCUAGUUGGUAAGGUAAUGGCUUACCAAGGCAACGAUCAGUAGCCGGCCUGAGAGGGUGAACGGCCACAUUGGGACUGAGACACGGCCCAA